rnacentral:lncRNA from 1 species
AAUCGUUGAAAAAGAAAGAAUUUUAUUGGCGAAAAGAGAUUAUAUAAAAAAGGAAUAAAAAUCAUUGGUACCCUUGCAUAUUCUUAACAACUUUUCUCCAGUAUUGUACUAAUCAUCAGCAAAGCAACUUCCCCUCACUGCUCGGUCACGUGCAUCAUCAUGAUGCCGAAGAAAACGUGCCUUUUUUCAUGGGUUUCUAACUACGGAGGUACUGAUGUGUGGAAUUAUGAUUUGUAAAAUAAAAGUAUAUCUUGCCGUUUUUGCGAUUUCUUGCACCCAUCUCGUUCUUUAUGGCAAGUAAUCCGCCAUUCCAAAACCUCUUAUCGCAUCAAAAACUUAAAAGUCUUCAAUAAACACAAGAUUAAAGGAGACGAAGGAGAAUUAAACGGUUCAUCAUUCAAUUUGGACGUAGCAAAGGUAUUUGUGUCGUGUAACAUCCCUUUAAAUGUUCUGAAUCGUCCCAAUUUCUCCAAGUAUAUUGAAAAAUUUACUGGAAAAACUUCUCCAGGUCUAUGGAUCGUUACAACUUGGUUGGGGAAAUAUGUCAAGGAGUUUUGAAUAGAAUAAAAAAAGUGUUGGAAGAAAAGGAUAUUUUUGUUGCACUAGAUGAGGCAAGAGAUCAACGGAGAAUUUUGAUUGGCCCUUUGGACGGACAUUUCUGUGGGAGGCCUUACCUUAUUGACUUGAUUGAUAAUAAGAUUUCAAACGCAAACAAUGUAAAUAACUUGGUCAUAUGCUCUGUUUAUAAGUUAUUGUGAGAAGACUUCAUCUCACGUACCGCCUCGUAUCGUCUCAAAAUUACAUAGAGUUACAGGUAUGGUUUAACAAAAGUUUACUCUAACGAACGAACUUAUUUCCAAUGUGAAGAUGUUUUUGAAUUCUGGAAGAAGAAAGGGAGUAUUUACUGCUUCGUACGAAAUUCCUCUCCCUCCAUCACCCAUUAUAACAGGGAAGAGAACUUAAUUAAAAGCAGUGGAGUACUACUACCAUCACUUCGACGCCUUCAGAAACUAUUUUAAACAGCAUCGAUGAAGAUUUGGCAGCAACCAGAAGAGCACAAUAAUGAUUCCUUAUGAGAAGAAGUUGUAUUUAUACAGGAAAAUUUUCUUCAAAUACCUUUGGCAACAACUGCACUUGAGGAAAGAUUGCCUUUUCUUACCAGCCUAACUAUAGUAGAAAAUCUGACUCAAGAUUAGAAGGAAGAGGCAUUCAAGACAAAGUUAAAAGAAGUACUUGAAAAGAAUCCUGGCUACACAGAACUAAAGGCACUCUCAACAAGUGAAAACCUUGUAUAUAAAAAUACUCCCAAUUAUGAAUUGUGAUGCUGAGUCUUUAGUAUGAUGAAUAUCAUAAAUACGAAAAGGAGGUACAAACUAAUUACUAAGAAAUUGAGUGAAUUGUUGAUCACCAAAUGGAAUGAAUAUUUUGUUAUUAUUGAAUUGUCAAGACGUAAAUAUUAACAUUAUUUUUUAAAUAAUUUGUUACUUUUUUGCCUCAUCUCUAUUCCUUAAAUUUUGUGCCAAUGUUAUUUAGUCAUUUUUAUGGUCAGUGGUCACUAAGAAGUUAUGAGUACACUUCUUGUAAGGAUGGGCUUGAUGUCUUCUGACUAUCAAUAUAUUAUGUCUCGCAUAAAUUGAUAGAAUAUUAUAUACAUUUAUUAAGUGAUAUAUUAGUAAUAUACAACAAUCCCUCUUCCUUCAUGUGUAAAUAAAUAAAUAUAAGUUAAA